AUACGUAGGGAGCGAGCGUUGUCCGGAAUUACUGGGUGUAAAGGGUGCGUAGGCGGGCAUGCAAGUCAGAUGUGAAAACUCCGGGCUCAACUUGGAGACUGCAUUUGAAACUGCAUGUCUUGAGGACGGGAGAGGUAAGCGGAAUUCCUAGUGUAGCGGUGAAAUGCGUAGAUAUUAGGAGGAACACCAGUGGCGAAGGCGGCUUACUGGACCGUAACUGACGCUGAGGCACGAAAGCGUGGGGAGCAAACAGGAUUAGAUACCCUGGUAGUCCACGCCGUAAACGAUGAUUACUAGGUGUAGGGGGUAUCGACCCCCCCUGUGCCGUAGCUAACACAUUAAGUAAUCCACCUGGGGAGUACGACCGCAAGGUUGAA
rnacentral:rRNA from 1 species